rnacentral:rRNA from 1 species
UACGUAGGGCGCAAGCGUUGUCCGGAAUUAUUGGGCGUAAAGGGCGCGUAGGCGGCUUGGCAAGUGGAUGGUGAAAUCCCUCGGCUUAACCGAGGAACUGCCGUCCAAACUGCUUUGCUUGAGACCGGGAGAGGUGAGUGGAAUUCCCAGUGUAGCGGUGAAAUGCGUAGAUAUUGGGAGGAACACCAGUGGCGAAGGCGGCUCACUGGACCGGUACUGACGCUGAGACACGAAAGCGUGGGUAGCAAACAGG